GGACACGUGAAAUCCUGUCUGAACAUGGGGGGACCACCCUCCAAGCCUAAGUACUCCUUACCGACCGAUAGUGAACAAGUACCGUGAGGGAAUGAUGAAAAGAACCCCGAUGAGGGGAGUGAAACAGAUCCUGAAACCGGAUGCCUACAAGCUGAUGGAGCUCUUCGGAGUGACAUCGUACCUUUUGUAUAAUGGGUCAGCGACUUAGUGUUGCGUGCAAGCUUAAGCCGAUAGGUGUAGGCACAGCGAAAGCGAGUCUUAAUAGGGCGAAUGAGUACGUAGCAUUAGACCCGAAGGCAAGUGAUCUAGAUAUGGGCAGGCUGAAGGUGCAGUAACAUGCACUGGAGGGCCGAACCGUUGAGCGUUGAAAAGCUCUCGGAUGACCUGUGUCUAGGGGUGAAAGGCCAAUCAAACUUGCUGAUAGCUG
rnacentral:rRNA from 1 species